CGCACAUUGCGCCCGCCAGUAUUCUAGCGGGCAUGCCUGUCCGAGCGUCAUUUCAACCCUCAAGCGUUGCUUCGCUUGGCGUUGGGGCUCUUACAGUGGGCAUUUACUGCCCUGUAAGCCCUAAAAUUCAGCGGCGAGCCAGUCAGCACACCGAGCGCAGUAAAACUACUUAGCUUAGGGCGUGUAGCUGGGCUUAGUCUGCCAACCAUACUUCUAAAAUUGACCUCGGAUCAGGUAGGAAUACCCGCUGAACUUAA
rnacentral:misc_RNA from 1 species